AAUAAUGCAAAUAAAUUUUUAUUUGAUUCUUUCGUCGGCAAUUAAUGUUAAAUUUGGCAAACGAGUGAUUUUGGCAGUUAAUGGAAAAGGAUGGAAGUUUCGUGGAGUCUAAGGUUAGGCGAUUUUAUCAUUGGCAGUUAAUGAUUAGCAGUUAAUAUCAUAUCUUAAUCUAUAAAAAAAAAAGCAAUUAAUAUCAUGCAUUCAAUUGGUGAGAAGGAACAUCAGGGAGCAAUGAAGAUCCAGGAACAAGAUUGAAAUCAAAAGCAGCAGCAAUAAUGAAUCGAAAGAAAUCUUAUGGCCACAAAAGGUUGAUUAAUAUUUCAAGGGAAAUGAUUUUAGGAAAUUAGGCUGAGGUGAAGGGCUUCACAGCACAUAUCGUUAUAACCUGAAGUUGGAGAUGCCUGAGUAGAAGAUGUGUUAACUUGACUAAAGGUUGGUUCAUCAAUUCCUCAUGGUCUAUAUAUCAAGAUUCACUAUAAUAGACUUGGCAAGGAUGGGAUUUUUAGCCAGAAAGAAUUGUACUGUAUAUUCAAGAUCUGUAAGAAUGUCUCCCUUCAGUGAAAGCAUGUAGAGAUCAAUUGCUUAGAGAAACCAACACAGAGAAACAAGGUUUAAGUUUGAACUUUCCUAGCUCUUAAAAACCGUGACAUUCUUAAGACACUACCUACAAAUGAAAAAUGUACAGCCUACCUCAACCAAGGCACCAUAUCUUCUGUGAGUUUUGAGGUCAUGUCAAUGCCUCAGAGUUCUCUAACAUACAAAAAUGAGCGUCCGACACUGUAAUUUCUUAUAGUUUUCACUAAUGUUGAUAUCUCCUGCGUGCACACUUAUAUUAGAAUAUCUCUUCCUUAAUGUGUUCCUAGUAGAUGUCUACUGAUGUAAGCAUAUGGUACAAUUGCAUAACUUUUGAUAAUUAAAUAUGCCUCAACAAUGGAAAAUUAUCAUAGCAGUAACAGGAUAGUAUAUAUUGUUGAAUGUUUUCUUAGAGAGGACCCAAGCAAUGAGUCCUUUCUUCAUUCUUUCCCGGUUUUAUACCGUAAUAUGCCAUCUCUUGCUGGUUUAUCAUUUGAAAUCGUUAUUUCCUAUUUGAAAGUUCUUGAAAGUUCUACGGAAGCCCACACAUAAAGGAUCCUGUUAUCGCUGCUUUUACCAAGUAUUAUUGAAAGGCUUUCCCUCUUAGUAAAGGUAUUAAGUGUACUACAUAUGGUUAUGAUUUAGGUUAGUCUUAACUUUCGCCGUGUUGAAGAGAUAUUAUUUAAUGUAGAUUCCGCCUGAUUUUAUGGCCAUUGACUUGGUUAAGUUUUUUGGGGUCCUACUGACUGGGUACAUAGUAAUCACAAGUUUGAUUAGAUGAGAAACUUUAAAAAGGGUGAUGGCUAAUGUUAUAUUAUCAAGGAUAAAUUUUUGAUGUGUACGUUCUUUGAUGGGGGCAUGAGGGACAAAUCAGAAGUUGAUAUGUGUUUUUCAUAUUAAUUGGUUCAACUAAUUUUGCUUCCAAAAAUAUCAAAGAUAAAAUAUAAGCAAUUAAGAUAACCAAUAUUUUCUCAAAAAAUAAACUUGUCUUGUUUUUUUUGGAAACAAAAUUUGUUGGAAUCAAUUAAUAUGAAAAACACAUGUCAACUCCUGAUUUGUCCUUCAUACCCCAUCAAA